GAUGAACGCUGACAGAAUGCUUAACACAUGCAAGUCUUUGGCGAAGCUGUGCUUGCACAGCCUAGCCAAGGCGGACGGGUGAGUAACGCGUAAGGAACUUGCCCUGCAGUCAGGGAUAACAGACGGAAACGACUGAUAAGACCUGGUAAAGUCAGGCGGACUCAUGUCCAGCCUGAUGAAAAGAGAUGCUGCAGGAGAGCCUUGCGUCCUAUUAGCUUGUUGGUGGGGUAACGGCCCACCAAGGCGAUGAUAGGUAGCCGGCCUGAGAGGGUGGACGGCCACAAGGGGACUGAGAUACGGCCCUUACUCCUACGGGAGGCAGCAGUGGGGAAUAUUGGACAAUGGGGGCAACCCUGAUACAGCAAUUCUGUGUGCACGAUGAAGGUUUUCGGAUUGUAAAGUGCUUUCAGCAGGGAAGAAAAAAAUGACGGUACCUGCAGAAGAAGCGACGGCUAAAUACGUG
rnacentral:rRNA from 1 species